GCCUUCAAGAUGGGGACGAACAGACGGAAACGACUGCUAAUACCGAAUACGAUCCGAAGUCGCAUGGCAUUUGGAUGAAAGGGUGGCCUAUCGAAGAAGCUAUCGCUUGAAGAUGGGUUUGCGUCCGAUUAGGUAGUUGGUGAGGUAACGGCCCACCAAGCCGACGAUCGGUAGCCGGUCUGAGAGGAUGAACGGCCACACUGGAACUGAGACACGGUCCAGACUCCUACGGGAGGCAGCAGCG
rnacentral:rRNA from 1 species